rfam:Schistosoma mattheei strain Denwood, Zambia genome assembly, scaffold: SMTD_scaffold0001607
AUCCAGCUGAUGAGUCCCAAACAGGACGAAACGUGCUGCCUAGAU